rnacentral:rRNA from 1 species
AUUGAACGCUGGCGGCAGGCCUAACACAUGCAAGUCGAGCGAGCGGCGGACGGGUGAGUAAUGUCUGGGAAAAUGCCUGAUGGAGGGGGAUAACUACUGGAAACGGUAGCUAAUACCGCAUACCAUCUGAUGUGCCCAGAUGGGAUUAUCUAGUAGGUGGGGUAAUGGCGCACCUAGGGGACGAUCCCUAUCUGGUCUGAGAGGAUGACCAGCCAAACUGGAACUGAGCAACGGUCCGGACUCCUACGGAAGGCAGCAGUUGGAAAUAUUGCACCAUGGGCGCAAGCCUGAUGCAGCCAUGCAGGGUGUGGGAAGGAAGCCUUCGGGUUGUAAAGCACUUUCAGCGGGGAGGCGUUACCCGCAGAAGAAGCACCGGCUAACUCCGUGCCAGCAGCCGCGGUAAUUC